GAACGGGUGAGUGACACGUGAGCAACCUGCCCCUGACUCUGGGAUAAGCGCUGGAAACGGCGUCUAAUACUGGAUACGAACCACAGUCGCAUGGCUGGUGGUUGGAAAGAUUUUUUGGUUGGGGAUGGGCUCGCGGCCUAUCAGCUUGUUGGUGAGGUAAUGGCUCACCAAGGCGUCGACGGGUAGCCGGCCUGAGAGGGUGACCGGCCACACUGGGACUGAGACACGGCCCAGACUCCUACGGGAGGCAGCAGUGGGGAAUAUUGCACAAUGGGCGCAAGCCUGAUGCAGCAACGCCGCGUGGGGGAUGACGGCCUUCGGGUUGUAAACCUCUUUUAGCAAGGAAGAAGCGAAAGUGACGGUACUUGCAGAAAAAGCGCCGGCUAACUACGUGCCAGCAGCCGCGGUAAUACGUAGGGCGCAAGCGUUAUCCGGAAUUAUUGGGCGUAAAGAGCUCGUAGGCGG
rnacentral:rRNA from 2 species